GUUACUUACAGAAAACAGUCACCAAGUACAGUCCAGCUAAGCCAGGAAACCGGACCAGAGAAUGAAUUGAUGCCAUGUGUUUGAACCACAGUGCUCAGGAGGAAGGCUUCCUUACUUGAGGACUGCUUCAGGAUGUAGAAGGAACAAUGUCACCUGAGAUCCUGUGGCAGAUCAUGAUGGGAGUAGUCAAGGUUGAUGGCGAUGUGGCUGUCUUGAGGCUUGCAUUCAAAUGCUAGAUGUUUAGGGACAUUGUCAGUUAGCCCAAAUUUAAAGAACAGGCUCACUUUUUGUGGCUUGACAGUAAGUUCUUUAAAUCCUUAAUGUGGAGUACUCUAAAAAUUAUUUAAGAAAACUCUUUGUCUGUCUACAUCUUUAUUC